GUGUCUUCUCAGCACCUCUCUCCACCUGUCGUAGAAGGGACAGGAAGUUCUCUGGAGCUAAUACCAUUUGACAUGUUAAGGAAGGGUGAAAUCCCAGAAGAUGCAGCCAGGACUGGCUUCUUCAUCCUUCCUCAGACUUCAGGUAAGGUUGCUGGCCAGUUACCUCUGGGCAGCUGCUGUGAGAAUCAUGUGACUGAAAUGAGGAAGGAGCACUUUCCAGAAGGAAGGGGGGCUGUUCUUGAAACCAAGCUCUGGGGGUAUCUCUAAAGGAAAAGCCUUGAAUCUUGCCUCCUGCAGUAGUGGGGAAUGUGGUCUCUGAGACUGGGUUUCUUGGUAUUGGAUUGCCGUGUUCAAGUUGACAUAUAACCAGAGCCAAGAACUCUGAGAGGCAACCUACCCUGCAGCUGGAAUGCACAACUCUGGGCAUUGGGGAAAGAGGAAAGACCACAGUUGGACAGGGAAGGUGUGCAGCUGGACCAUGUAAGUAAAUGUGAGCAUUGGGAGGAGGAAAGGCUGCAGACCCUGUACUGAAGCCAGGGGUUUCCACUGGGCGGUGAGUGAUGAUUCUUUUUUUGCGGUGCCUGUUGGUAAGUAUCAGAAAGAGAUUUCUGUGAUGAGGAUGAAGUGUGAUAUAUAAGCGCAGUUGGCAUUACUGCUCUCCUUGCUUUGUGCUGUUGGAGCGUGUGGAGCGGGACUUGCCAUGGUGACAGGACUCAUCAAGGGGCAUUAAACAUAUGUCUUGGUGGUCAUAUUCUAGAGGAUUGCUUCUACUUGCACCUGCAUUCCCAACCGUGCACCUUUUUACAGUGUCACCACAUCAGCUGUAGAGGUGAAGGACUGUAACGAGGAAAGCCAAUAGCAAAAGAAUCUCAGAGCACCCUUUCUAUGGGCAACCAUUGGGAAGAGCUAGGAGCACCGACGGUCUGCAGAGGACAUGGGACCAGACACUGUUGAGCAUAACACCAAGCAAGCGUGAAGGAGGUUGUCCUCCCAUAGCUGCUGCUUGCUCAGUUAAGGUGUUCAGCACUGAAGCCAGUAUGACGCCCAGGUUGGCAAGUGCUCUACCACUGAGCUGUGUUACUUCCCCAGCCCUGCUUUGUUUUGAC